GCCCCCGUAGCUCAGGUGGAUAGAGCAACGGUUUCCUAAAUCGUGUGUCGGGUGUUCGAAUCACCCCGGGGGCACCA
rnacentral:tRNA from 1 species